UCCCAGGCAAAGGUAAGAAGGGAGGGGGGAUAAUAAAAAGUAAAAUGUAAUUAAAAAAAUAUUUAUAUUUGUUAAUCUACCCUCCAACGCCACAGUGUGUGUAUAGUGGCAGUGUGUGUGUAUAGGGGAUAAUUAUAGUGGGUCUGUGGCGUUGGAGGGUAGAUUAACAAAUAUAAAUAUUUUUUUAUUUUACUUUUUAUUAUCCCCCCUCCCUUCUUACCUUUGCCUGGGAGG